rnacentral:rRNA from 1 species
CUAUGGGAGGCUGCAGUGGGGAAUAUUGCACAAUGGAGGAAACUCUGAUGCAGCAACGCCGCGUGGAGGAUGACACUUUUCGGAGCGUAAACUCCUUUUAUAUAGGAAGAAGAUGACGGUACUAUAUGAAUAAGCGCCGGCUAACUCCGUGCCAGCAGCCGCGGUAAUACGGAGGGCGCAAGCGUUACUCGGAAUCACUGGGCGUAAAGAGCGUGUAGGCGGAUUAAAAAGUCAGGAGUGAAAUCCUAUAGCUUAACUAUAGAACUGCUUCUGAAACUCUUAAUCUAGAAUAUGGGAGAGGUAGAUGGAAUUUCUGGUGUAGGGGUAAAAUCCGUAGAGAUCAGAAGGAAUACCGAUUGCGAAGGCGAUCUACUAGAACAUUAUUGACGCUGAGACGCGAAAGCGUGGGGAGCAAACGGGAUUAGAUACCCUGGUAGUC